GCUCUCCCUUUGCCAACAUUUAGACGAGAAGGCCAGCUGUCCUGCCCUCUCCCACCAUGAGUGUCAGCCUCCUGUGCUGGGCAGCCUUUUGUCUCCUGUUUGCAGGUGCAGCACAUGCAGGGGUCACUCAGAGGCCCAUGUUCCAGAUCCUAAAGACAGGACAGAGACUGACAAUGACAUGUGUCCAGGAUACAAGCCACAGUGACAUGUACUGGUACCGCCAGGACCCAGGACAGGGCCUGAAGCUGAUUCAUUACUCAGUGGGCAAAGGCAUCACUGAUAAAGGAGAAGUCCCUGAUGGGUAUAAUGCAUCUAGACCAAGCACAGAGAACUUCCUGCUCACCGCAAAGUCGGCUGCCCCCUCACAGACCUCUAUGUACUUGUGUGCCAGCAGUGAUCCACAGCGCUGCAUAGUCACAUCCUCUCAACACACAAACUCAGGGCAGGCUCUGCUCCCACAGAAUCCAGUGACACCCUCAUCACAAGAAACUGGGAGACACAGGAUGUCUUCUGAAUGA